rnacentral:lncRNA from 1 species
UCAGUUUUUAUAUUUCCAUUUUACGAUAAUUUCAAAAAUAUUUUAUGACUUUUCUUGUUUCGUCUCCAAAUGAAGUAAGAAAUUAUCCUCAAAAUCAGAUUUAAAAUAUGAAGGGAAGCCAAAAGUGGAACUCAAAACGCUACCUUGAUAUAUCAUGUGUACCGAAACAGCAUGCUUAGCCAAUGAAAGAAGACAUCAACCAGCAAUGUUGGUAGAGUCAGUGAGACCAAGAAGCAGUAUACAGAAUCCAAUCAAUUGGAUACUAUAUAACUUUUUUUUUUUGGACUAGAGAAGGAAGACUCCUUAUAAUGUGAAACCAACUUCUAUUUAAAUAAAACCAUUACAAGUCCACCUGAUAUUACAAUCCCUACAUGAAUAUAACAAGAAUGAUAAACAAACAAACACCUGAUAUUGAACAACAAAGAGUGUGUGUGUGUGUACCUGUCAUUAAAUUGUCAGAGAGCAGAAACAGUUUUGAGACUAC